GGCUCCUUCGUCUAGUGGUCCAGGACGUCUGGUUCUCAUCCAGAAAAUCGCGGGUUCGACUCCCGCAGGAGUCACCA
rnacentral:tRNA from 2 species